UGGGGAAUCUUGCACAAUGGGGGAAACCCUGAUGCGGCGACGCCGCGUGAGCGAUGAAGCCCUUCGGGGUGUAAAGCUCUUUCGACGGGAACGAUAAUGACGGUACCCGAAGAAGAAGCUGCGGCUAACUACGUGCCAGCAGCCGCGGUAAUACGUAGGCAGCAAGCGUUGUUCGGAAUUACUGGGCGUAAAGAGUGUGUAGGCGGUGUUCUAAGUCUGUUGUGAAAUCUCCCGGCUCAACUGGGAGGGUGCGGCGGAGACUGGAAUGCUAGAGUAUGGGAGAGGUAAGCGGAAUUCCUGGUGUAGCGGUGAAAUGCGUAGAUAUCAGGAGGAACACCUGUGGUGUAGACAGCUUACUGGACCAUGACUGACGCUGAGACACGAAAGCGUGGGUAGCAAACAGGAUUAGAUACCCUGGUAGUCCACGCCCUAAACGAUGCAUACUUGGUGUGAGCCAUUCAUUUGGUUCGUGCCGGAGCUAACGCGUUAAGUAUGCCGCCUGGGGAGUACGGUCGCAAGGCUG
rnacentral:rRNA from 1 species